rnacentral:sRNA from 1 species
CCUCCAGAACUGCAGUUUAUAGCUCCCAGCUUUGGUAUUUUAUGACUGCAACCCAUGGCACUCAGACAGAAGUUUUGUGCCCUAGCUAUAGAAAUGGUGGUUUGUUUUUGUUUUGUUUGUUUGUUUGUUUGUUUUUAGCCUGCCAGGGUAUGAACCAGCCGACCUUGAAUUAAGCUUUCCUACCUCUUCAAUCCAUUACAGACCCCCCUUUACAAUUUAGAGUAAAUGUAACAUUUACUAAACAACAUAUAAGGGCUGGGGUGCUGCUCAGUGGAAGAGCCUAUAUCAAGCGCCUGGAUUCCAUUCACUGCACUGCAAAGAAACAAGCGAACAAUAGCAGCAAGGAAAGGCAAAAGCAAACAGACUAAAUGCAAAGAAACAAAUGAGCAAACACAAAGAGACUGAAAGGAGAGCCGUUACCACAGGACUAGAUUAAACCGGCCAGAGGCCCUAACCAGCCUCACCCAGGACGCUUCCAGCUUCGUGCUAGCUGCUUAGUCUGGUGGGGGCGAUGCACUCCAUGCCCCGUGUCUUGCCACCAGGACGGGCGCUGUGAGAUGACCCUGCCAGGUUUCCCCAGGUCUUUCCAAACACUUGAGCUUGCAGAAGUGGAUGGAAAGUGGAGUUCUUUUGCUCCGUUUUUACCCAGAACUCACUUGGGCAGAAGCAGUGGUAAUACUUGUGAGAAGAGAGCUUGGUGGGUGCCGGUGUUUGAAAACGGGCCUAGACUAUUUCCAUAAAUGUUAGCAGAAAUCUGACCACUUGGUAAGCAGGACAGGCAGUCUAGGUUGUGCCCAGUUGUGCCUUUAAUCCCUGCUGCCUUCUGGGAUUAAGAAGGGAUGGAUGCUUUGCGGGGCACAGGAUGGCACCGGAUGGCACUAUAGAAACAUAGGGAGCCACCGAGGCUGGCCUCUCUUGAAUACCCUGAUCUCACAGGACUUGAGGAAGAUAUAGCGAGCUUAGGAUGGUCCCAUGCGGGGCAGAGCUUUGGCAUUUUCUUUUCUCGCUCUUGCUUCUGCUCCAGCAUCCUGGGAAGUGGGUCAGCCUGGGCAGGCCUGGCCAGCUGCCUGGCUGUGCCCGGGAAGCGUGCCCUGCCCCCAUUUCCUUCCCUGCGGCCAGAAGCUGUUUGAUCUCCAGUGGGAGGAGCAGGAAAUGAGAAAGGCGGCAGCGACUGGCUAGAAGGGCCUGACAAGCAGUCCCCGCUAGCCUGUUGGGCCUUGGCCUCAGGUCCCUGGGUGGGAGGGAUUCGCAGAGCAUCUCCUGUCUAGCUCCUGCCUGAAUGGGUCACCAGCCAGACUCUGCUGGUCCCUGGAGGAUGACUGCAUCAGUGUCCCUUCCUUUGCCCCAGCCAGACCACAGCUCCGUAUUCUCCUUAGUCUGCUGGAGGAGCUGGCUCUAAAUGUCUCCGGGGUCCCUGGCCUUCCCUCCCUGAGUGCCCCCAGUGUGUCAGAAGGCUUGUUUAAGGUGGACAGGCUGGAGCCAAGCUCCACCCAGCAGGCGUCCGACGACGACAUUCACUCUGCCCUCGGUUUCUUGGAUUAUGGGAUUCUAGGAUGCUGUCCUUCUUGGGCUCUUAUGGGGCCGUGGUUGGCCUCCACUGCUCAGGUUCAGAUGUCCCAUUUGAACCAGGGCCCCGGAAUUCCUAGAUUUUACACAGGGGAAUCGGGAUUAGAGGCCAAGUUCCCAGGCAGUGAUCCAGAGCCUUGUGACCAUGGCGGCAGCGAGUUAAGUGCACGGGAUGACGAGGUGCUGCUGACUGUGUGGGUGGAUGCACUGGGCUCUGCUUGUUUGCUUUGUGCCCUGUCCAAGCACCAGAAGAUCAGCAGAAGCAGCAUGCCUGGCUCACGCUGGCCUUGUCUCACCAGCUAAGAGUGGGGAUAUCAUGGCUGAGGCAAUGCUGGAUACACACCACUCUGAGUGGCAGUCCUCAGCUGAAGGGUGGAAGAGAACCUACGUCCGUACUUCCAAUUACAACAAAAUGCAUUCCAGGCUUCAGUGUCCAUGGCUACAAAGAAACUGGCUCAUCUAGAAAUGAUGGCACGACACUGGAGCCCGCCUCAACGAGGCCACCCUGAGUGGCAGAGUGUGUCAAGCUGGGCCUGAGGACUGCACACAUCUCCAGUGCCACUGCUGUGGGCUCAACACCACUGCUGAGACCCUCUCUGGCCAGAAGCCAGCCAAUAGGUCAUUCUGUUCUCUGGUGGCUUCCGGCUUUCCCUGGGGGUGGCUGGGGCUAUCAGGUCGGUGCCAGCAUAGACCCAGACCAGCUUGUUCAUGCGUCUGAGGAGACGACUGCAGAGUACUCUGGGGGACGCAAUGCCUCUGUGGGAGCGUGUCCUCGGGGCUUCCUUGUGCUUAUCACUUCAUGCUGGGCACUGGCUGAUGAUGAGGCCUACUGUGUGCUGAGCUCCAGCACCGACCUGGAUCUGUUUGAGCAUCACACUCUGAUUCCUGGAUUUUUCUUCACGUUGCCCUGAUGAGCCACCUAUUUACCGCUCCAUACCUCAGAUCCAAGGAGGACGGGCGGCAGGUGCUGAAUGCAGGGGGCAGGGGACUGUGGGUUUGCAGCUCCUCAAAUUUGGUCAAAACCUUACAAUUUUUUACACAUUCUUUGUAUCUGGAGUGCUUCCAGAGUGUGGUGUCUCAUGAUGGGGCUGCAGGUUUCUCGAGAGGAAACAGGUUUCACAUUUCCUCACCUCUCCAGGAAGACAGAGAGAAACUAGCUUUGAGGGAUAAGUGUUAUUCUGAGUUUGAACGGGGACACUUGGACACUGCUCUCCGAGGAGAUUCUACGUGAGUGACCCCACUCCUGGUACGCAUCUCUCGGACUUAAGUAUUAAGCUGAGGCUGACGGUCCCAGAGGAAGGUGCCAACAUGAUGGGGUCCACAUUCCAUUCCCAGGCCUAUGAGAGCUUAGCUUUGUGACUGAUAGGUAAGGGGUUUGGGAGCUCAUUAAGUGCACUGGCUUUAGUGUGUUCCUUUGUUCAGAGGGCGCUGACAUGCCUCUGUCUCUCAAAUCCAGGACUCAACAGACACAGGCCACACAGCAGGGCUUGCCUCCCUUUGAGUCCCCACCUCGGCGGUGCUGGAUGCCCAUCACCCAGCUUGCAUCUCAUUGGCAAUGAGCUGUGGUGGAGCUUGUUCUGUGCACACCUUGUAUCUGCAGCGUGGGAACGGCUGUGGCACAGGCCUUCCAGGACCACGAGCCUGUUCUGUGAGUCUCUUCUGUCUGUCCUCGAGGAGUUCGCCUUGGUCUUCGAAAAUAUCAGCAAGGCAGGCAGAUUAAAUGGCCUGGUGUUGUGAUACAUCGUGAGAACUGGCGGGCACGGGAGGCCUUCGAGGGUCCCCGCCCUCCCGUGCAUCGUCUUUUACACUUAGCGCAGAGUCUCUGCAUCUGGGCAUCGAAGGAGGGCUGCUUCCUCUCCUCCUGGAUGUAAUCACCCUUCCGUAUUUUAUGGGGGGGUGGGAAGAAAGGCAACUUGCAAUACUAUAUUCUAAAAUAAAGUCUUUUAUUUUUAUCAAACGAGAUAGCAGCUAACAGUUUAAGAAAGGCUGGGUAUAUGUGCAAUUUAGACAGUAUUUGGCUAAGGUAAAAAGUUAGCAUUUUAGUCCUUUGUAAAGUGCUGAGAAGUUGUUCCUGGUGAAUAUCUGCAUUAGGUUUAAAAAAAAUUUUUUUUUAACCAUCCAGUGAGACGCUGAUGUAUAAAUACAGGUGGAGCAAAGGGAGUCUAUGGGCUACUCAUACCCCUUGACAUCCGCGGCUGCUUCUCAAGUGUCCCACAUGACCCUGUGCAUUCUUUGGGAAGGGGGGUGGCACUGGGACAGCAGGCAGUGGGGGUAGCGGCU